rnacentral:rRNA from 1 species
UACGGGAGGCAGCAGUGGGGAAUAUUGCACAAUGGGCGCAAGCCUGAUGCAGCCAUGCCGCGUGUAUGAAGAAGGCCUUCGGGUUGUAAAGUACUUUCAGUCGUGAGGAAGGUGUUAAGGUUAAUAACCUUAGCAAUUGACGUUAGCGACAGAAGAAGCACCGGCUAACUCCGUGCCAGCAGCCGCGGUAAUACGGAGGGUGCGAGCGUUAAUCGGAAUUACUGGGGUAAAGGGCACGCAGGCGGUUAAUUAAGUUGGAUGUGAAAUCCCCGGGCUUAACCUGGGAAUGGCAUUCAAGACUGGUUAGCUAGAGUCUUGUAGAGGGGGUAGAAUUCCAUGUGUAGCGGUGAAAUGCGUAGAGAUGUGGAGGAAUACCGGUGGCGAAGGCGGCCCCUGGACAAAGACUGACGCUCAUGUGCGAAAGCGUGGGGAGCAAACAGGGAUUAGAUACC